rnacentral:rRNA from 1 species
CUUACCUGGGCUUGACAUGCCGCGAGUAGGAAACUGAAAGGGGACCGACCGGUUCAGUCCGGAAGCGGAACAGGUGCUGCAUGGCUGUCGUCAGCUCGUGCCGUGAGGUGUUGGGUUCAGUCCCGCAACGAGCGCAACCCUCGCCCUCUGUUGCCAUCGGGUCAAGCCGGGCACUCUGAGGGGACUGCCAGCGACAAGUUGGAGGAAGGAGAGGAUGACGUCAAGUCAUCAUGGCCCUUAUGCCCAGGGCCACACACGUGCAACAAUGGCCGGUACAGACGGAAGCGAGACCGAGAGGUGGAGCAAAUCCGAGAAAGCCGGUCCCAGUUCGGAUUGAGGUCUGCAACUCGACCUCAUGAAGUCGGAAUCGCUAGUAAUCGCGUAUCAGCACGACGCGGUGAAUACGUUCCCGGGCCUUGUACACACCGCCCGUCACACCACGAAAGUCUGUUGUACCUGAAGUCGGUGCCCCAACCGGAAACGGAGGGAGCCGCCCAAGGUAUGGCCGGUAAUUGGGGUG